GGGGCUGUAGGGUAGUCUGGCUAUCCUUUCUGGUUUGGGACCAGAAGACCCCGGUUCGAAAGAACGCUCUUAUGGGGCGCCGAAUGUCCGGGCAGCCCCA
rnacentral:tRNA from 1 species